rnacentral:rRNA from 1 species
AUAAGCGGAGGAAAAGAAACUAACGAGGAUCCCUUAGUAACUGCGAGUGAAGUGGGAAAAGCUCAAAUUUAAAAUCUGGCAGCCUUUGGUUGUCCGAGUUGUAACCUAGAGAAGUGCUGCCUGUGCUGGACCAUGUAUAAGUCUCCUGGAAUGGAGUGUCACAGAGGGUGAGAAUCCCGUCUUUGACAUGGACUGCCAGUGCAUUGUGGUGUGCUCUCAAAGAGUCGAGUUGUUUGGGAAUGCAGCUCUAAAUGGGUGGUAAAUUCCAUCUAAAGCUAAAUAUUGGCGAGAGACCGAUAGCGAACAAGUACCGUGAGGGAAAGAUGAAAAGAACUUUGGAAAGAGAGUUAAACAGUACGUGAAAUUGUUGAAAGGGAAACAUUUAAAGUCAGUUGUGUUAGCUGGGGAUCAACCUGGUUUAUUGCUUGGGUGUAUUUCCUGGUUGACAGGUCAACAUCAGUUUUGACUGGUAGAAAAAGGCCAAGGAAAUGUGGCACCUUUGGGUGUGUUAUAGUCCUUGGUUGUAUCUGGUGGUUAGGACUGAGGUAUGCAGCACACCACAAGGGCCGUGGCCAGGUCAUUGCCUGGUCACGUUUGUGCUUAGGAUGU